rnacentral:rRNA from 1 species
AGUGAACGCUGGCGGUAGGCCUAACACAUGCAAGUCGAACGGCAGCACAGUAAGAGCUUGCUCUUACGGGUGGCGAGUGGCGGACGGGUGAGGAAUACAUCGGAAUCUACUUUUUCGUGGGGGAUAACGUAGGGAAACUUACGCUAAUACCGCAUACGACCUACGGGUGAAAGCAGGGGAUCUUCGGACCUUGCGCGAUUGAAUGAGCCGAUGUCGGAUUAGCUAGUUGGCGGGGUAAAGGCCCACCAAGGCGACGAUCCGUAGCUGGUCUGAGAGGAUGUUCAGCAACACUGGAACUGAGACACGGUCCAGACUCCUACGGGAGGAAGCAGUGGGGAAUAUUGGACAAUGGGCGCAAGCCUGAUCCAGCCAUACCGCGUGGGUGAAGAAGGCCUUCGGGUUGUAAAGCCCUUUUGUUGGGAAAGAAAAGCAGCAGGUUAAUACCCCGCUGUUCUGACGGUACCCAAAGAAUAAGCACCGGCUAACUUCGUG